CUACGGGGUGCAGCAGUGGGGAAUUUUGGACAAUGGGCGCAAGCCUGAUCCAGCCAUGCCGCGUGCGGGAAGAAGGCCUUCGGGUUGUAAACCGCUUUCGGACAGAAAGAAAUCGCACGGGCUAAUACCCCGUGUGGAUGACGGUACUGUAAGAAGAAGCACCGGCUAACUACGUGCCAGCAGCCGCGGUAAUACGUAGGGUGCGAGCGUUAAUCGGAAUUACUGGGCGUAAAGCGUGCGCAGGCGGAUAUUUAAGUCAGACGUGAAAUCCCCGGGCUUAACCUGGGAAUGGCGUUUGAAACUGGAUAUCUAGAGUGUGGCAGAGGGGGGUGGAAUUCCACGUGUAGCAGUGAAAUGCGUAGAGAUGUGGAGGAACACCGAUGGCGAAGGCACCCCCCUGGGCUAACACUGACGCUCAUGCACGAAAGCGUGGGGAGCAAACAGGAUUAGAUACCCCGGUAGUC
rnacentral:rRNA from 1 species